GUUGCAUUACACGGAUCAACCACAUGCACGACCCAGCUUUUUCCUUUCUUUUCGUUGAUCAACCUUUUCCACCUCUAUGUUGCGUUGGAGCGCCAUUAGGGUUUCUUGCCAUUGCUUGCUUCACGUCGUUUAUGCCAUCCGUUUCUGCAGCCCAUCAUUUCACGGAAGUGAUACUUUCUUCCGCACACCUCCAAGCUGCAAAAUGACAUCCAGCACCUUACUCCUUAAUUGGGCCCGAGCCCAAUUCAUCUAUACAUUCGCGUAACCAACCAACACCCAUCAAGGGCAUUCAGUGUUCAGCCUCGCGUCCUAGUGUCUGCUAGGGUUCACCAUGAGAGAAAGCCUUCUCUUCUUCCCCUUCACUUGAAACACGUCUUGCAUUAGGGUUUUCAUUCACGUUUUUUUCCCUUUUCAUUGUACACGGAAAUUGGUCGUUGGUCCACUUCCCUUCCUUCUGUUAGGGUCAGUUAGCAAAACCAUUUCCCUCUUUCACCGUUAGGUUGUUGUUAGACGGUGUUCACCAUUUGUGUUGUGUCUGGCUGCCUUCACCUAUAAAAGGCAGGCCACUCUUUGUAAAACUCAGCUUUGAUGAAUGAGAUAUUCCAGUAGAGAUCAUUCCCACAUUCGUCAGCUCACCCUAAACCCUAGGUUAGGUCCUUACCUACUCGGGUUGCCCCAAACCAGUGAGAAACCAUAGCGAAUCAAGCAUAAUCUUCAUCUUCGAGUAUUUCCAUUGCGUUUCCCUCGCUCUCCGCGAGAUUCAAUCAGUGGAACGUCGAUUGGAAAGCUUUUCCGGCGAGUACCGCGACGGAGGAGCCUCAUUAGUCUUCACCCCCAAUGACGUUUCUUUUGGAUUAUUCGUGGUUAUGGUUGAUGAGUUGGGUAAGUUUCGUGGUUUUUGAAGAGAAGAUGGAAUGUUUUUGAAGAUCAAGAUGAAGUUCUCAUGCAAAAAGACGAAAAAGGUUUAACUUUUAUUAUUUCUCCAUUUUCUUAGUUUUAUUUUAAUAUUUUUGUUCUCUGAGCCAAUCUAUUAUGUUGUUUACUGGGUCAUGUGACAAAAGGGUUCUUCCCUACUACAUCUCAAUCCAUACAGCUGGUCAAAGAAAUGUUUCCAAGGAUGUUCCACCGCCAGCUCCUGCCAAUUUCAUUGUGCUAGGAAAGUGGCCACUAUCAUCCAUGACACCAACUAUUGCCCUCAAGAAUGGGAAGCUAAAAGUUGCAGUAGGUGCAAGUGGAGGUGCUUUCAUUAUUGGUGGAACUUUAGAGAUCCUUUUUCUUCUGUAACGGCUCCAAGGGUCUAUCAUCAGAUUACUGGAGAAUGGUUCACAAACAGUAUUUUUUCAGAGAAGCUCUUGAAAGUUGAUUGAUACAAUUCCAAAGCUAUGACUAACAUGAGGCGUAGAAAUAACGUUGGAGCUGAUGAAAUUGCACAUGCAAUUCAUAAGAUGGUCGACGCGAUGUAGCCUGUUGCAGCGUAGCCAAGGGCCAUGAUUCCACAAAUCCGACCUGUGACGAUGGAAGACUUCAUGCGACAUAAGCCAUCAAAAUUCACCGGCAAGGCCACCCUAAAUGAGGCAGACGCGUGGCUACGAGAAUGUGAGAAGAUUUUCAUGGUGAUUGGCUGCACGAAAGCGUAGAAACUUACCUUUGCCACCUUCUUGUUGGUGACCGACGCAGAGUAUUGGUGGAUGGGGAUGCAACAACAGAUGCAGACUCGAGAUGAGGAGGUGACUUAGGUAAAUUUCAUGAAAAGGUUCUUGGAGAAGUACUUCCCAGACAACGAUAAACAUGAGCGCGAAGCUGAGUUUCUCACUCUACAGCAAAGGAACAUGUCGGUACAGGCAUAUGUGGACCAAUUCGAGUAUCUGGCGAGGUUCUACUCAUAGGUGGUCACAGAUGAAUGGCGCUGCAGGAAAUUUAAAGGUGGCCUGAAACAUGAGUUACAUCGGUUCAUUGUGCCCUUGAGGGUUAGGGAGUUUCCUGUCUUGGCGGAGCAAGCCAAGAGUGUCGAGCAACUAGAGAUGGUACCUAGCCGGGUCAGUCGACCCCAAAAGAGUGGUUUGAUGGGCUGGCAACAGAAGAAGCCCUACAGUCGACCCAAUCAGCCUCACAGAAGUUACGGUGUUAUAACUAGUGUUAUAAUUGUGGAGGAGAGCACCUGAGGAGGGACUGUACUAAGCCGGCGGGCAGUGAAGGAGGCAGUGGUAUCAAUCGCAAGUGCUAUGCUUGUGAUCAGCUGGGGCAUUUUGCUAACAAGUGUCCUAAUAAGAAGGCCACUCCUGGAUCACGAUCUCAGUUACCUGCUACAGAGAGGCUUAGAGCAACGGGCCUGGUAUUUACCAUGACCAACAUAGAAGCCACCCGGUCAGAUGAUAUUCCAGGUGAUGUUGUUGACGCAUAGCGAUGGAGAGAGGGCUAACUUGGGGACUUUUGAGCUAGGGAUUUUAUUUUGUGUUGUGUUAUCAUGUCGGAUUUUGGAACUUAUAACAACAUUAUUACGCUAGUUUUAUUUGAAUUAUGGCGCAUUGAAGAAUAUUUCAAUUUUCCCGUGUUUGGGAUUAAUAAAACUUUGAUGUUUGGUUUUA